rnacentral:misc_RNA from 1 species
GAUGAAGAACGUAGCGAAAUGCGAUAAGUAAUGUGAAUUGCAGAAUUCAGUGAAUCAUCGAAUCUUUGAACGCACAUUGCGCCCGCCAGUAUUCUGGCGGGCAUGCCUGUUCGAGCGUCAUUACAACCCUCAGGCCCCCGGGCCUGGCGUUGGGGAUCGGCGGAGCCCCCCGUGGGCACACGCCGUCCCCCAAAUACAGUGGCGGUCCCGCCGCAGCUUCCAUCGCGUAGUAGCUAACACCUCGCGACUGGAGAGCGGCGCGGCCACGCCGUAAAACACCCAACUCUUCUGAAGUUGACCUCGAAUCAGGUAGGAAUACCCGCUGAACUUAAGCAUAUCAAUAAGCGGAGGAA